ACGGAUAACAUACCGAAAGGUAUGCUAAUACGGGAUAAUAUAUUUGAGAGGCAUCUCUUGAAUAUCAAAGGUGAGCCAGUACAGGAUGGACCCGCGUCUGAUUAGCUAGUUGGUAAGGUAAGGGCUUACCAAGGCGACGAUCAGUAGCCGACCUGAGAGGGUGAUCGGCCACAUUGGAACUGAGGCACGGUCCAAACUCCUACGGGAGGCAGCAGUGGGGAAUAUUGCACAAUGGGCGAAAGCCUGAUGCAGCAACGCCGCGUGAGUGAUGAAGGCCUUCGGGUCGUAAAACUCUGUCCUCAAGGAAGAUAAUGACGGUACUUGAGGAGGAAGCCCCGGCUAACUACGUGCCAGCAGCCGCGGUAAUACGUAGGGGGCUAGCGUUAUCCGGAUUUACUGGGCGUAAAGGGUGCGUAGGCGGCCUUUCAAGUCAGGAGUGAAAGGCUACGGCUCAACCGUAGUAAGCUCUUGAAACUGGGAGACUUGAGUGCAGGAGAGGAGAGUGGAAUUCCUAGUGUAGCGGUGAAAUGCGUAGAUAUUAGGAGGAACACCAGUUGCGAAGGCGGCUCUCUGGACUGUAACUGACGCUGAGGCACGAAAGCGUGGGGAGCAAACAGGAUUAGAUACCCUGGUAGUCCACGCUGUAAACGAUGAGUACUAGGUGUCGGGGGUUACCCCCUUCGGUGCCGCAG
rnacentral:rRNA from 1 species